GAAAGAACCAAUACCUAGAGCGAGAACGCCGAACGCGGACGUAAAGGCCGCAUCUUUGCGUCUUCUUGGUGGAGAUGGAACUCGAAAUGCCCGUCUUCAUCGACACCAGCCUCGGCACUCGUCUCGCCCUGUCCGCCCCCGGUAGCAUCACGGCUCGAGACCUCAAACGUAAACUCAAGUGUGAGCACAUUUUGUGUUUUCCAACCUUAGGAGAAAUCAUUGUCCACUCCCUCAUGGUAAAGCAAAAAACGAAUUUCUAUCAUAUUCCUGAUUCAAUGUUUAUAAGGGAAGCCUGUUGUGGAUCUCGAUCUGCUUGGUUUCUUCAAAUGAAUGCAUCCUUAUUGACAGACAUAACUUUGCAACAAAUAGAAUCACCUCCCUCUAUAAACCACAGAAGACAAAAAAUUUCUCAUCAGGGUGAAACUGUUUGUCCAAAUUCCAAAAUAAUGUCAGCUUCAAGUAACGAUCCCAAAAACAUCUCAACUUGUCGCAAAGUUUCUGAUCAAGCCUUGUGCACUAAAGUACAAGGAUUCUCAACUCUGAAUGACAGAAAAAGUCCUAAUGUAACUAAGAUAGUGAAAUUAGGAGAAAACAUUCAAGUGAAUGCUGUUGCAAAGGAGGCUGUGGACACUUCUAAAACCUGCAAAUCUGUAAAUUCUGAUGUGGAUUCUGCAAAGAAGGUGAUUCAAAGGGGCGAAACUUGGCUAUCAGAACACCCAUCAAAAGGUGGGGAAAAGAUGAAUUCUUCACCAAUGAAAGAGGUUCCUAGUGCCAACUGUUCAGAGGAAAUCUCUGUUAGUGGUCUUAUUUUGAGAUAUUUCUGUGACAAUGACGAAGUGAAUGCUUCCAAAAUUUGGCAAAAAUUGGGGAGACAGACUGUUUCAGAUGUUUAUGAUUCUAAUUGUAUCAAAGAAACUAGUUUUGCAAUGAAACAUGGACAGUACUCGGCUGAGGAAAGAGCCUCGAAUGAAACCCCAGUUUGUUCUGUCAAUAGCAGUAAAUCAGAAACAAAAUUUUCUUCUUCUCGGGGCUGUAAAACUGCAAUAAUUGUCAAGCAUGAUCCAACUUUUGACGACGAUGAGAUCUCACAUGGUGUUAUUUCAAAUGUAAAGAAAACCAAUCGGUGCUGCAUUCGCCAAGCAGAAAAUAGUUUGUCAGGAGCAAACAAACAUCAAAGGCUGAGUAGACGACGAGUCAAUAGAAAACUUGCUCCUUUGACACCUCAGUCUAUAUCAAAGAUUUGUCGAUCACCAUUCAACAAGCAUAGUAUAACUUUUAACUGCAACAGAUACGAAGUCGGGAAGCACCUUGUCCUAGCAGCAAAGAGGAUAUCUCCCUCUGUUGGCGCACAAAUUUCACCAAUGUUUCACUCCAUCUCUAGGUGUGGAAAUGUUUGUGCACUCAAUUCAAGUCUGAUUCCGAAAAGAUGUGUGUUUGAGAUAAGUGAUUCUGAUCAUUGACAAUCCGAGUUAAUGUGGGAAAUGAUCCACAGCAGGCUUUCUUGUGACAAUGGUUCUUUCUUAUACUGGAUUGUGGCUCCAAGACUGCAAUGAACCAGCCAAACAAUAUGAAAUCGGAUUGAGAAAUUCAAUCGCGACCAUUGUGCUAGUAUUGUAUCUUCUCUAGUUGCAUCUUUGGUACAUGAUGUCUAGCCUAAAAAUCAUACACACGAAGAAGUAUAAGAUCAUCGUUAGAACCAUCCUACUAGCCUCUUCUUGUAGGCUAUAGUUUAAAAGGGAACCCACCUCACCUCAUCCAUUGUAGUUUUGAUCCCAGGGACAGACUCCCUUACAAGUUUUGCAAACUUUUCUUCGACAAGUUUAUGUAAUAUAUACUUCAAGAUGAGAUCUGCUUCUCUUCUGCCUUGUUGAAACUGAUAAAUGGGCUACACAUUGCUUAUAUCUUGAUUCAAAUCAUAUCUCUGCUGAUACAUCACAAAAGAAACUUUCAAAAUCCUCAAAUGUUCUUACUCUCCCACGCGGCGACCUAAACUGCUCCAUCGAAUGCGAUCGGCAAGGCGAUUUCAUGGCGGAUUGUUUCUAUGCUCGAUCUUUCAACUGGAAGAAUAGUGAUGCAUUGCGAAACGGUUCUCGCCUCCCGCAAGAAUCCCUAUGAAACGUUCGUUGAACCCUCCCGAGAUGAGGUGCUCGUCAAAUGCGGUCGUGAAGCCACGAUAGGCAACUAUCCCUGCUUCGUGAUGAAUCUUCUUGGCAACACCUGCAUCUGUAAGACUCUCUCCUUGUGUUAGUUAACAAGUUUAAUAGUUGUCACUGUGUUAAUUGAUAUAUUCUUAUAGCAUUAGAAUUUGAUAUCCCAUAGUCAAUAAAUGGUUUAAAGUUAAAGUUUAGUAAAUUGAUAAUAUACAUCUAUUUAUUCAAUGGUCCAACUUUAUUUAUGCCAAGUUUAAUCUCUUCCUUC